GACGAACGCUGGCGGCGUGCUUAACACAUGCAAGUCGAACGGAAAGGCCCUGCUUUUGUGGGGUGCUCGAGUGGCGAACGGGUGAGUAACACGUGAGUAACCUGCCCUUGACUUUGGGAUAACUUCAGGAAACUGGGGCUAAUACCGGAUAGGAGCUCCUGCUGCAUGGUGGGGGUUGGAAAGUUUCGGCGGUUGGGGAUGGACUCGCGGCUUAUCAGCUUGUUGGUGGGGUAGUGGCUUACCAAGGCUUUGACGGGUAGCCGGCCUGAGAGGGUGACCGGCCACAAUGGGACUGAGAGACGGCCCAGACUCCUACGGGAGGCAGCAGUGGGGAAUAUUGCACAAUGGGCGGAAGCCUGAUACAGCAACGCCGCGUGCGGGAUGACGGCCUUCGGGUUGUAAACCGCUUUCGCCUGUGACGAAGCGUGAGUGACGGUAAUGGGUAAAGAAGCACCGGCUAACUACGUG
rnacentral:rRNA from 1 species